rnacentral:rRNA from 1 species
UACGGGGGGGGCAAGCGUUGUUCGGAAUUACUGGGCGUAAAGGGUGCGCAGGCGGCGUCGCAAGUCAGGCGUGAAAUCCCCGGGCUUAACCUGGGAACUGCACUUGAAACUACGAUGCUGGAGUAUGGCAGAGGGAGGUGGAAUUCCACGUGUAGCGGUGAAAUGCGUAGAGAUGUGGAGGAACACCGAUGGCGAAGGCAGCCCCCUGGGCCAAUACUGACGCUCAGGCACGAAAGCGUGGGGAGCAAACAGG